rnacentral:lncRNA from 1 species
AAAGGCCUUUAAGAUUUUCGGUUUUUUGACAGGGCGCAGUGGCUCUUUCCUGUAAUCCUAGCACUUUGGGAGGCUGAGGGGGGUGGAUCACCUGAGGUCAGGAGUUCUAGAGCAGCCUGGCCAACGUGGUAAAACCCUGUCUCUACUAAAAAUACAAAAGUUAGCUGGGCAUGGUGGCAGGCGCUUGUUGAGAUGGAGCCUCACUCUGUCGCCCAGGCUGGAGUGCAGUGGGCGAUCUCGGCUUACUGCAGCCUCCUUCUCUUGACAAUCCAUGGGUUCAAGCGAUUCUCCUGCCUCAGCCUCCCGAGUAGCUGGGAUUACAGGCGCCCGCCACCAUGCCUGGCUAACUUUUGUGUUGUUUACUUUCACCAUGUUGGCCAGGCUGGUCUCGAACUCCUGACUUCAAAUGACCCACCUCUGCCUCCCAAAGUUGUGUGAUUACAGACCUGAGCCACCUCACGCGGACCCAAGGCCCUUAAGUGUAAAGGCCUCAUUCUUCAGUCAGGUUUUCCUUAUUCCUGCAUGUUCAGCCAAUCGUUUUAAGUUUGUGUUUAAGGAGAAACUAACAAUGAAAACGGACUCGUUGAGGGAGGAAAAGUUAGAAGGCAGCCUCUGGUGCUGUUUGAGCGAUCCCUCUCUCCCCGGCUGGGCCGCUGCUGUGUUCUGGAAAGGCGCACGGUACCCUGGAUGUGGCAGUGCAAUCAUAAAUGAUGGCUGGAACUACUCCAUUCUUCUGGAGAUGAAAUCUGCAUUCUCUUGUCUGAGAUAGAUAUGUUUGCUUGGGUUCUGCUUAAGGAGAUGGGGGAGAGCAGUGCAUUUCAGUGCCUGGAAAAUGUGUUCUCUAUAUAGGCUUUUGGUUAAUCUCUGUUUUCAGUCUUGCCUAUCAGUCCCACCCUCGGGGGUACUUGGUGUCUGAGUCUAGAACCUUUCCAGGUUGCUGUGGGACAAAUUAGCUUCCUUGUUAUGGGUAUCCCCCAACCUCCACUUUUGUUUGCUUUGCUCGACUAAUUAACCAUUUUCCAUUUACUGUCAUUUUCUAAUGGAGGUGAAUCUUCUGUUGGUAAUCCCAUUUCUUGUUUUGUAAUUGUGUGUUUAUAUAAUGUUUCUUCUUCACUGUAUUUCUAGUGGAGCCUCAGGACAAAGAGCAGAUGGUGGAAAUAUGUGUUCAGUGUUCAGUUUUUUUCCGUAAGACAUUUGCAAAUUGUGUUUUUCACUGACUAUCACAUGGACUUCAUGCAUAUAGAGCUACCUUGUUUGUCAUGAUUGUGCCUAGAAUUCUAUGGAGAAAUAUGAUUUGUGAAUUACCUGAUGAAAUUUUCCUCAUUUUGAAUCAUCCUUGCAUUCCUAUAAUAAACACUGUAAGAAUGGCUAUGGUAAUAUUUCA